UACGUAGGUGGCGAGCGUUAAUCGGAAUCACUGGGCGUAAAGCGCUCGUAGGUGGCUUUGUAAGUCAGGUGUGAAAGCCCACGGCUCAACCGUGGAAUUGCACUUGAUACUGCAUUGCUUGAGUUCGGGAGAGGGUAGUGGAAUUCCAGGUGUAGGAGUGAAAUCCGUAGAGAUCUGGAGGAACACCAGUGGCGAAGGCGACUACCUGGACCGAUACUGACACUGAGGAGCGAAAGCGUGGGGAG
rnacentral:rRNA from 1 species